GAAUACUAAGUAAAAAAUCAGUA
rnacentral:miRNA from 1 species